GCCGACGCACUGUGCCCGGCCGCAGUCCCAGGCGGGGCUUUCCUCGUCUGCCACAGAAACAUUCCAGGGCCCUGUGACCGCCCUGACCAGUCAAGGGUGCUGCCGCUGCCCGGGGACACGGUU
ensembl:snoRNA small nucleolar RNA SNORA77